GAUGAACGCUGGCGGCGUGCCUAAUACAUGCAAGUCGAGCGAACGGACGAGAAGCUUGCUUUUCUGAUGUUAGCGGCGGACGGGUGAGUAACACGUGGAUAACCUACCUAUAAGACUGGGAUAACUUCGGGAAACCGGAGCUAAUACCGGAUAAUAUUUUGAACCGCAUGGUUCAAAAGUGAAAGACGGUCUUGCUGUCACUUAUAGAUGGAUCCGCGCUGCAUUAGCUAGUUGGUAAGGUAACGGCUUACCAAGGCAACGAUGCAUAGCCGACCUGAGAGGGUGAUCGGCCACACUGGAACUGAGACACGGUCCAGACUCCUAAGGGAGGCAGCAGUAGGGAAUCUUCCGCAAUGGGCGAAAGCCUGACGGAGCAACGCCGCGUGAGUGAUGAAGGUCUUCGGAUCGUAAAACUCUGUUAUUAGGGAAGAACAUAUGUGUAAGUAACUGUGCACAUCUUGACGGUACCUAAUCAGAAAGCCACGGCUAACUACGUG
rnacentral:rRNA from 1 species